CUGGGAAGACACCCAAGGCUUUGGCACCUCAGCACUGAAUUCCAUUCAUUCUGAUGGCCCCAGAGCAAGGGCCUGGGGGGCAGAGGGAUGGUGGAUGACGGAGGCUGGAAAGUAGAUGGGGAGCUUCUGAGAACAAGUGAAAAUCCUGGAAAAUGAGGAGAAUACUAUUCCGGAGGGGGAACACCACUGUGUCCUAGGAGGCAGCUAUUGAAUUUUGCAGAAAAGGGAAGGGACCCACCCACGAUGCUGGAAGCUGCAGACCGGCUGUUGAAAAUGAGUUUGAAAGUCUUGCUUGGGGCCAUAUGGCGUGGAUAUGCCAGAAGGAAAUUAUAUGCUGCUCUGUUUCUACUCAACUACUUUUCAUUGUGAUAUGGUACAGAACCCAGAAAUGAUCAGAAGAUACAGAGGCUUUGGGUUUUCAACAGUUGGCUUUUUUCUACACUGGUUGGUCUCUGUUGCCACUGCUGUCCGGUGGAAGAACAAGAUAUACAUUAACUGUGCCAAGUAUACUUUCGUGGGUGACAAGAAAACAAGUAUCCCACAAACAAAUUUGUAUCAUUGACCUUAACAUGGAAGUCUCACUGCUGCCCUUCAUCUGUGUCUUGUCUGCACUCUUGAAGAAGAUGUAAUCUUUGACUUGCUGACCAUUAUUUUAUGGCUUAAGAAAGGGACCAGUAGAAGGAAGAGCUCUGAUCAAGUCAAACUUUGCCAAGAACAAGGAAGAGGAAUACAGAAAUCUUGCUGCCUGGUGCUGUUCACCCUGUUUACCACCAACACUGCCAUCCUGGCAGUCAGUAUAUCCACCAAUGUCCAUGCCUAUGAUGCCCUGCCAGCAGCUAAACGUUAGAGUCAAGCAGUUCAGAGACCUGCUGACCAAUGAGCCUUUCUGAUGAAAGGACAGCGUCGCUCUCCAAGGCCUCACCAUUUUGGACAAGUUCAAUGUCUGUGGUUUUUUUUGUUUGUUUAAAAAUAACAUGAAAUCUACAGACUCAGAUGAAGAAAAGGCCAAACAGAAAUGGACUUACUUGAAAAAUGCAAGUGUUGAGACUAGAGACACCCUGCAGGAGCUCUACAAGGAAUUCAAAGGCAUGAAAUUCUUGCAGCCUCCAUGAAAGUCCCCAGAGAAGACGUGGACAUACUGAAUACUUCCUUCUAUUCUACAUGGAAGGUCAGCUGUGAUAGCUCCAGGGGCUGUGCAGAAAGUAGCUGCCAUCCGUAAGGGCACAUUAUGCAGCUAAAGAAGAGCCAUGCAUAGCUGCACACCAAUAGCGAUGACCUCAACCUCGAGCCCCACUGUGAUUAGAUGCCAAGUGCCUGGGAAAAGAUUAGCAUACUUUGCAGGAAGCAUUAGUAUGAUAGCACUAUCCUUCUCAGAUCCAACAUGAACCUGUGAAUCCAGGAAAUACUCCAUGGACACAGGUGCCAUGUAGUGUUCUACUGCAAAAACCCUUUAUACAGAAGUUCCAUUUGAGCUCUGUACCUAGGUCAAGAAAUCUUUAACAUGACCAAUAAGUCUGUUUAUC